rnacentral:rRNA from 1 species
AUUGAACGCUGGCGACAUGCCUUACACAUGCAAGUCGAACGGCAGCACGGGUGCUUGCACCUGGUGGCGAGUGGCGAACGGGUGAGUAAUACAUCGGAACAUGUCCUGUAGUGGGGGAUAGCCCGGCGAAAGCCGGAUUAAUACCGCAUACGAUCUACGGAUGAAAGCGGGGGACCUUCGGGCCUCGCGCUAUAGGGUUGGCCGAUGGCUGAUUAGCUAGUUGGUGGGGUAAAGGCCUACCAAGGCGACGAUCAGUAGCUGGUCUGAGAGGACGACCAGUCACACUGGGACUGAGACACGGCCCGGACUCCUACGGGAGGCAGCAGUGGGGAAUUUUGGACAAUGGGCGAAAGCCUGAUCCAGCAAUGCCGCGUGUGUGAAGAAGGCCUUCGGGUUGUAAAGCACUUUUGUCCGGAAAGAAAUCCUUGGCCCUAAUACGGUCGGGGGAUGACGGUACCGGAAGAAUAAGCACCGGCUAACUACGUG